rnacentral:ribozyme from 1 species
UGUCCAGCAACUCCUAUCCCUACCUCCUCGCGGUACCUGCCGGAAACUAUGAGCAACCUUAGGGAAGA